rnacentral:rRNA from 1 species
UAGUGAAUCUUCGGCAAUGGGGGGAACCCUGACCGAGCAACGCCGCGUGAGUGAAGAAGGUUUUCGGAUCGUAAAGCUCUGUUGUUAAGGAAGAACGAGUGUGAGAAUGGAAAGUUCAUGCUGUGACGGUACUUAACCAGAAAGGAACGGCUAACUACGUGCCAGCAGCCGCGGUAAUACGUAGGUCCCGAGCGUUGUCCGGAUUUAUUGGGCGUAAAGCGAGCGCAGGCGGUUAGAAAAGUCUGAAGUGAAAGGCAGUGGCUCAACCAUUGUAGGCUUUGGAAACUGUUUAACUUGAGUGCAGAAGGGGAGAGUGGAAUUCCAUGUGUAGCGGUGAAAUGCGUAGAUAUAUGGAGGAACACCGGUGGCGAAAGCGGCUCUCUGGUCUGUAACUGACGCUGAGGCUCGAAAGCGUGGGGAGCGAACAGG